GGGAAAACAGUGCCAGUGGCGGCGGGAGUGCGUGGGGGGCGAUGGGUAAUCGGAUUUAAUGGGCGUAAAGCGGGGUCAGGGGGUUGUGUAAGACAGGCGUGAAAUCCCCGGGCGUAACCGGGGAACUGCGUGUGUGACUGCAAGACUAGAGUACGGCAGAGGGGGGUGGAAUUCCACGUGUAGCAGUGAAAUGCGUAGAGAUGUGGAGGAACACCAAUGGCGAAGGCAGCCCCCUGGGUCGAUACUGACGCUCAUGCACGAAAGCGUGGGUAGCAAACAGGAUUAGAUACUCCGGUAGUC
rnacentral:rRNA from 1 species